AAUAGAUACCCCGGUAGUCCACGCCGUAAACGAUGAGUGCUAAGUGUUGGGGGUUUCCGCCCCUCAGUGCUGCAGCUAACGCAUUAAGCACUCCGCCUGGGGAGUACGGCCGCAAGGCUGAAACUCAAAGGAAUUGACGGGGGCCCGCACAAGCGGUGGAGCAUGUGGUUUAAUUCGAAGCAACGCGAAGAACCUUACCAGGUCUUGACAUCCCGCUGCCCGGUAUAGAGAUAUAUCUUUCCCUUCGGGGACAGCGGUGACAGGUGGUGCAUGGUUGUCGUCAGCUCGUGUCGUGAGAUGUUGGGUUAAGUCCCGCAACGAGCGCAACCCUUGAUCUUAGUUGCCAGCAUUUAGUUGGGCACUCUAAGGUGACUGCCGGUGACAAACCGGAGGAAGGUGGGGAUGACGUCAAAUCAUCAUGCCCCUUAUGACCUGGGCUACACACGUGCUACAAUGGAUGGUACAAAGGGCUGCAAGACCGCGAGGUUUAGCCAAUCCCAUAAAACCAUUCUCAGUUCGGAUUGCAGG
rnacentral:rRNA from 1 species